CUCAUGGGCAGCAGAGUACCCCAAGUGUCUUCAAGGCAAACGAACAACCUCAUGAAUUGGUGAGCAAUCAGUUCGUCAAGAGGGUUUAUUUUGUGCAAAAUAAGGAAGCAGAGAUUUUACCAGACGCCAAGAGGUGCCAGGCAUGCUUGCACUGUUACUGCAAGAGUGUGCACCAGACAAGGGUGCUCCUGUCCUGUCCUAAAAUGCUAUCCUUAUUCAACUGAAAAAGCUUCAGCAAUUGUCAGCUGAUUAAGACCAGCUCUGGGGUUCAGACAUUAAGCGGUUCCCUGACGUGUUCUUCUUUUGCUGUAUCGAUCACCUAAAAUCGCCCCCCACUGCGAGGAAGCGUGGGGAGUUCUGCUGAAGCAGCGGGUGGGCAAUGCGAGCAGGCCAGCCAGCGAGUCGUUCAUGUUGAGACGCGGACGCGUGCUACGGAGGCGGGGCUUUGCUGCAGAUGCGUUUCCCAGGCGGAACAGCUAAAGAAACAGUCCCGUCGACAAGGUGCUGACCUC